rnacentral:rRNA from 1 species
UACGAGGGGGGCGAGCGUUGUUCGGAAUUAUUGGGCGUAAAGGGUGCGUAGGCGGUUCCGCAAGUCCUGUGUGAAAUCUUCGGGCUCAACUCGAAGUCUGCACGGGAACUGCGGGCUUGAGUGUGGGAGAGGUGAGUGGAAUUCCCGGUGUAGCGGUGAAAUGCGUAGAUAUCAGGAGGAACACCUGUGGCGAAAGCGGCUCACUGGACCAUAACUGACGCUGAUGCACGAAGCUAGGGAGCAAACAGG